UGCCUUGGCUGAAGAGCUUGUCUCUUUAAAGGCAGGCCUUCGGCGUAAAAACUUGGUGUUCUCAGUGGAGAGCUGCUGCAGUCAGAAGGCAUCACAACAAACAAGACUGCUGACUGAAAUAACCUAAGUUAUCUACCUGACACCAUAGUGAUGAACAGAAUUCGAGUUGAGCUGACUCUGAAAUGGGUGAAUCUCAAAGAUGGAACUGAAAAGGAGUGAGAAUAUACAACCUGAAGUAAAAAUCAUAUCAGGUGAAUACCAGCCAGGUUGAUACUCCUGGCCCUGCUCUUGGCUAACUUGAUUUGACUCAGAACUGCCUGGCAGCCUGUUUUGCAUAUGAGGAUAUACCAAGGAAAGACCACGUGAACACACAUUAAGAAGGUAUCCAUGGAAAUUCAGGACCAGCCUUCACUGGAACCCACCAUGUUGGCUCCCUAAUUCUGGGAAUAUGCCCUUCGUAAUUGCAAGAAUAUGAAUUUUUGUUGAUUAAAUCACCCAGUUUACGGGAUUUUAUUACAGCAGCUCAAUCUAAAUAACACAUCUUGGUUAUUUAUGUAAAAAGAUUACAAGAAAGAGAUAAAAUGGAAAAAAGUAUAGAACCAAAGGAAAUUGUUACACUGGCCUGGAAGAGAUUUCUUUGAGCAAUAGAAAUGUGUCUGGAAGAGAAUCAGAGCGGGUAAUUAUGCACCUCAAAUUUCCUUAGGAGAGUGACAUUCAGCAAAGCUCACUGCUGUAUUCAGGUUGGGUGUAACUUUCACUUGAAGGAUUAGUGCCUGGGUCUUUAGAUUAAUAAUAUUCUUAGUGCAUCACAUUCUUUAUAGUGAUACCUAUAAGGUAAGAAGCCUUACAUGUGGGAUUUGAGAGAGAGUAUUAGAUGGAGAUGUGUGUUUUUGAGAAGGCAAUGUGAAGGGCACAGAGGGAUCCAGUGCAGGUUAGCACUCCUCAUAUAAGGGAUGAUGGUCUCCAGAAGGCCUGGCUUAGGGCACCAAAGGUUAAGUGCAAUUAGUGAAUGAAGAGGCUCUUUUCCUGGCUGCAGUUCUCUUGGUAGUAGAAUACAAAGUGUUAAUAUUUAAAUGAGAAGAUGGAGAACGAUGAGGAAUAGAAAACAAUGCCACAUAGAGAAAGCAACAAACAUCACAAGCUUUUAUAGGCAAAAUGUGUCAGGACUGAAUUAGAAUUCCUUUACUCCAAUGAUUAAUUUCUCUACUAAGGAUGAAGGCAGAGAUCUAGAAAAUGACAUAGCAAAAAAUGAAUAUUAAUAUGUGGAUUCAAAUGGAUUCUGACAGUUUUUAGCCACAGAAUUUUUUAAAAGCUGACAAUUAGAAUUGCAUGUAUUUAUCUAGAAAAAUAUUUUACUUUCUUAGUAAUGAAGGAUUGUGGGUGACUGACUUCUGUAAUUACAGCCACUUAGUUUAUAGUUCUUGUAAUCAUAGUUGUGUUUAAGGUUAUUGACUCUAAAAUAUGCAUAGAGUUCAUUUUCUGUUUUGAAUUUUCCCAUUUUCUUCCCCAGCAGUUGUAAGCAAAAGACCCAUAACUGAACCUGAGUUAUUAUAUCAUCAUGAUUGUGAUUGAAUCUGUAAACACAAAGAUAAAGCUCUGAUUCCACUUUCAUUUAAGCCAAUCUUUUAGGUCGUCUCCCAAAAAGUUUUUCCUAAAGAAGCUGCAUACUCUUAAUAAGACAAAAAUUCAUUAAUUACAAAAGAAAAUAGAAUUCUAACAGCAUGCAUGUGACAUUAAAUCUAACUAGAGAAGGUUAAGAGAAAAAUCGGAUGUUUUACACCAGUUGGCAUUAUGCAUGCUUGGCUUGUUAUAUUUAUUGUGAUAUUGAAAAUAAUCAUUUAAAAAAUUUCCAACUCCCUGUAUUACAUAUUUGAAAACUCAUGCAUCAUUAAUAUUGAUGACUAUUUGUUCAGUUUGGGCUUAUUUUAUCAAAAAGGUAAAAUAUAAGAUGUCCUUAUAUCGUAAUGAAAAAUAACAAUGUAUAAUUUGUUUUAUAUAGAAUAUUUGCUCUAAUAAAUACAUAGCUAGUAGUAUCUUCGUAGAUAGUGUCAAGAAAUAUUUUGACACUGUUCCUUGGCAGGUAUUGCUAAUUGCUCUUAAACAUGAUAUUGCAGAUAAAUAUAUAUAUAUAUAUAUAGAUAGAUAGAUAGAUAUAGAUAUAGAUAUAGAUGUUAGUUUUUAAAAAUAGAAGAUGAUGAACAAUUAGAAAAAUGUUAGUUAAUUUUAUUAGAAACAGAUAAUAAGUUAGAUGAUAUAUUUUAACAACAAAGAUUGUAUACUUUCAUUUGUUCUUCCAAGCAUAGUUUUAAUUAAAUGCCAAAAGUUUUUGUUGAGAAGCAUGGUGGGAAGUAUAAACUUUAGAUACAGGAACUUCUGGUUCACAUUCUGGUUGUUUGCUAGCUAAAUACUUUGGCAGUGGGCCUAACUUCUUUGAACUUCUGAAAAAAAUGGAGAUGGUAAUAUUUACUUUGAAACAUCAUUGUGAAGAUGGAAAUAAUGAUAUGGAGCAUUGAUAAGUCCCAGGAAGCAGUAUAAUAGCAAUAAUAGGCAGCAUCCAUUGUAGUGAAUAAGAAGUAGUAUGUACUUAAUGAGUGCAUGUGUGGACACAGGUUUUAAUAGUUCAUUUGCAGUAUGCAACUGACUAUGAUGAUUAUUAUUGUACCUGGUGGAAGUGAAUCAUGUUUUGAUCAAGAUCUCCCCAGUCAAAUGCUUGAAGUUGACCAGAAUUUAAAAUCUAAGACAAAACAAAAUCAAUAAAUAUAUUAAAAUGAUAUAAGGAAACCAGACAAAUUUAAUGUUAGAAGCAAGAAAUAUACAAAGAUCUUUUAUCACAUAAGCUAAGUAUCACUAAAGAUUAGUCAGUCAUGUACUAAAGUUUAUAAAAAUGGAUGCCAGCUCAAGAACUGUUUCACAAGUUCCUCUUCCCAUAUUUUUCCUCAUGAAAGUCCACAGAAAACCUUGCCUUUAAAUGUCACAAGGAUGCAUGUUGACUUUUUCUUCUCAGUGCUGGGAAAUGAACCCAAAGACCUAACACAUGUUGUGUAACUACACAGACCAGACAAUUGCUCUACCUCUGAGGUUCAACUUUAGCUCUUACCUUAUUAAAAGUGUGAAAUAUUUUAUAUGUAUCUUCUAUAUAUACUUAUAUAUAUAUAUAUGUGUGGAAUAUCUAUAUAUUUAUAUAUAUGGAUUUGUUCAUCAACUCUACAUUUCCAACAUUAAAAAUUGCUAAUGAUUAAAAUAUUUUAUGUGCAAAUGUAAAUCUUCCCAAACAAAACUCAUUAAUCUGCAUAACAACCAUGGAUUAAUAAAGGUAUGGAGAAAAAGGUAAAAAUUAUUACUGCUA